rnacentral:sRNA from 1 species
CAUAGAUUUUGAGCCUGUCAAACAUUGGAAGCUUGAACCAGAGAGACUACUGACCAGAGAUGCCUGAGCAUCAAGGACUUGCUUCAAAGCUUUUAGGUACUUGAAAUAUGAAGUCUACCUGCACAUGAGUGGCAGGAUUUGGCAUUUGUGUAUUUUAUCUGAAGUGUCACGAAUAAACUGCCAUACAACUCUGGAGCCACUGAGUUGACAGAUCACAGUAAACUAGACCUUGUGUAUGAUCAUAAAAAUACAAGGAUAACAGAAACAUAGCUGCCUUUGGAGGAAGAAGCUAUGAGGAACUGAAGUUAUAUCCACUUCAAAGUUAGUAUCUGUACUUUAUGAUAGUAAAAACUAGCCUGAAUUCACACUACUACUCUUAACGUUUAACGUACAGUGUGUAUAUAGUUAAAGGUGGAAGGAGGGGCAAGAAGGAUAGCUCAGUGGUUAAGAGCAUUUGCUGUUCUUCUGAAGGACUUGGAUCAGUUCUUAGGUCAGACAGUUCACAACUGCCUGUAACUCCAGCUCCAGGGCAUCUGUUCCCUUCUUCUGGACUCCAUGAGCAUUCACACUCAUGUGAGCAUAUAUAGACCCACAUGUACACAUAUUUAAAUAAGACAAAACAAAGUGAUCUAGUUAAUAUAAGCAAUAUCCUUUGCUCAUCGUUUCUGUGAACUGAUCUGUGUAGCUGUGUUCUGACCAGUGUUUCACAUUCUAACAUUAAUGAACUCCUACUAUCAUGACUAAAUCUAAUAAAUCCAUUACCUACUAAAAUGAUCAUUGAUAAUAACCAAAGCUUUUCUUUAAUAAUGCUGCUGCCUUGAAUAUAUCUAACAGUAAAUCUUCAUAGGUUUAACACUGUCCCACAACCCGUACUGGGUCAUUAGAUUACUUCUUCCUACUUUCAAUGCAUUAUCUUACAAUAUACAGUUGUCUAUGUCCUCACAUACUGAGUGAAUAUUAAUAUCAUAUUACUAGUGUUUUAUCAUUACUAGGUAAUGAAAGAAGUAGGCAAAACAACCAAAAGUGUUUCAUGAGCUCAAUAUACAUCCAUUUAUUAAUGCAUAUGCCAGCGAUUGCAUCAUACUAGGCAUUUGGAAAAGUCAUUAACAAAGCAGUCGCCUAAGAUCGAACACAAAUUAGUCAAUCUCACCAGCUUGUGUGUUUUCAGAUCCAGAAGCAGAAUGGUUGAGAGAGAUGGCACUAAAUCGCUCUGCUCCUCACAUACUAAACCAGCAUGUUUGCAAAACACAGUCAACAAUGUAACAGCGUCUUGAUCCUGGGCACAUAGGGAGUCUCCUCACAGCUGUGGCUGUAAGUUACAAUGACAAAGUGAUGUUCUGCAGCCAAAUAUUUAGAUACAGACUCUGGAAAGUCAAAUCAGAAACAAAAUCCAGACAAUGCAAGUAUCUGUAACUAAGUAGCAUUUGGGGCAUAUAAAGAAGACGAGUUACAAAAUCAUGAGUCAUUGACUUUGAUUUUAUUUUACAUUUUUCCCUCCUAAAUACAUAUGAAGUUGUGAGUUUUUGGGUUUUUUUUUUUUGCAAUCUAUUGUAGUGCUGCAUUCAGCAUAAACCAUUGAAUAUCUUUAAAAGAAACAUCUGGUUGUAGAGUGAAGUAGUCAUAAGUAUAUUGUUAGUAUUUUCCUUCCAACAAGUUACUUAUCAAAGGAAAGUUAAACAGUUCUUGCAUUCCAUGACUUUCCAAAGAAUGAAUCAGGGUAAAGCUGAGACAUAAUGCUACAUGGCAAAUGCAUUAGGUUACCUUUUUUUUUUCUUUUCUUCUUUUUAAAAUUACAAAUGUGAUGAGGGUGGGGCUGGCAGUUUUAAAGAACACAGUUUCAUCAAUGUAGUAACCAUUAACAAACUAUUUAGCAUUGCUUUGUGUAAGUUUUGCCUCGAGAGCAUUUCUUCACAGUGAUAUUUUAGAAAGGUUAGGAACUGGUCAGCAUAAAAUAUUUCCCACCUUUUCUAUUGUAAUUUGUAUGC